GACGAACGCUGGCGGCGUGCUUAACACAUGCAAGUCGAACGGAAAGGCCCUGCUUGCAGGGUACUCGAGUGGCGAACGGGUGAGUAACACGUGGGUGAUCUGCCCUGCACUUCGGGAUAAGCCUGGGAAACUGGGUCUAAUACCGGAUAGGAGCCAUUUUUAGUGUGAUGGUUGGAAAGUUUUUUCGGUGUAGGAUGAGCUCGCGGCCUAUCAGCUUGUUGGUGGGGUAAUGGCCUACCAAGGCGGCGACGGGUAGCCGGCCUGGGAGGGUGGACGGCCACAUUGGGACUGAGAUACGGCCCAGACUCCUACGGGAGGCAGCAGUGGGGAAGAUUGCACAAUGGGCGCAAGCCUGAUGCAGCGACGCCGCGGGGGGGAUGACGGCCUUCGGGUUGUAAACGCCUUUCGCUAGGGACGAAGCUUUUUGUGACGGUACCUAGAUAAGAAGCACCGGCUAACUACGUG
rnacentral:rRNA from 1 species